GAUGAACGCUGGCGGUAUGCUUAACACAUGCAAGUCGAACGGACUCUUCGGAGUUAGUGGCGGACGGGUGAGUAACGCGUGAGAAUCUGGCUUUGGGUUCGGGACAACCACUGGAAACGGUGGCUAGUACCGGAUGUGCCGAGAGGUAAAAGAGAAAUUGCCUGAAGAUGAGCUCGCGUCUGAUUAGCUAGUUGGUGAGGUAAAGGCUCACCAAGGCAGCGAUCAGUAGCUGGUCUGAGAGGAUGACCAGCCACACUGGGACUGAGACACGGCCCAGACUCCUACGGGAGGCAGCAGUGGAGAAUUUUCCGCAAUGGGCGAGAGCCUGACGGAGCAAUACCGCGUGGGGGAAGAAGGCUCUUGGGGUGUAAACCUCUUUUCUUAGGGAAGAACAAAAUGACGGUACCUAAGGAAUCAGCAUCGGCUAACUACGUG
rnacentral:rRNA from 1 species